rnacentral:misc_RNA from 1 species
AUUAUAGUUACGAAUAUAUAUAAAAAGAAUGGCGAAAGUGAAAAUUUUAUAGGUAUUCAGAGUAUUUGAUUUCUUGUUUAUAUCUUUCAAAUAAGUUUUGUAAAGACUACAAUAAAUAAUAAUAAACAUAUACUAUAUUCGAUUGAGACAGAUAGAGACAGCUGCUGUACAGAAACUACUGUAUCGACAGAGGCCUUAAUAUGAUCAAUAUUGAAGAAUUAAUACACCAAAGAUACUGAUAAUAUAAAUACAUUCAAAUUUCAAUAAAUUUCUAAAACAGACCAGUAACUGCAAAUGGAUUAUAAAGGGAGAAUUAACGUUUCUCGUACUGGAAUUGCCAAAUCGAGAGGAUCCGGCGAAGGAACAGGACUUACGGGAUUGCUGCUUGGAGGAGUUAAAAUCGGUUCUCUUUCAAUCCUGAUGCCAUACUCCCUCUGUCUUUCUUCUUCGACUGCUUCUAGUGCAGCCUCUACUCUUCUACGAGCGUCGUUCCCUGGUAAAUUGAGAAGAGACGAGCAGUCACUAACAAAUUCGUUGUUUUGAAUUCCAAGACCAGUGUAUGUUGGAGAAACCUCAGGAUACAGAAACAAGUGAGAUUGUUCAACAGGGACUACAGACGUCGUUUGAAAAGCUCUGUCUUCACUAGGCAUCAGAAGCGGUUGUGAAUACUGCUCUCUGGAAUACAUGUAAUAAGGAAAAUCUCGUGGAGUGUCGUCAUAAGCAGCAGCAUCAUCAAUUGGCUCUUCAGUCUUGCGGUUCUCCUUGUCACUAGCAGUGCCAACACUAUUUGCCUGCGAGAUCUCAAUCUCUGGCUCGAUUGGUGAGUCCCGAGGAGAACCAGUGACCGAUGAGUCUGAAUGAGUUUUAAUGUGUAACUCCAUGGUCUUCUUUGAACCAAACGUCUCAUGACAUAGUGUGCACUUAUAAACUUUUUCACCAUAGUGGGCAACCUAAUACAUUUAUAAUAGUUUAUUAUAUGAGUUUAAGACUCUAAUGGAACAUUAAAAUUACAAAACAAUUACAAAAGCAUUAUAAUUUACAUUUUAUAACAUAAUAUUAAUUUGAAUUAAAAUUUGAAAGGCAUUAAUUAAAUUUUAACCAUUAAAUUUUAAACAUUAUUAUCAGGAAUAUGUAAAAUUUGGAAGGCAUUAAUUAAAUUUUACAUAUACCUGAUAAUAAUGUUUAAGAAAUUAUGUAUACGCCAUUUAUUAAGAAAUUAUUAUUAUGCAUUAUGUACUAUGUAUUAAGAAAUAUGAUAUGAUAUAAGAGAUAUAUAUUAAGAAAUUAUGUAUAUAGGUAUAUAUAAUUAUA